rnacentral:pre_miRNA from 1 species
ACAACUUUCGAACCGUUUGUCUACCCAGCAACGACUCACGUUUGGUGGAAGAUCUUCCCUUUGUUGU